UAAGGAAUAUUGGGCAAUGGACGCAAGUCUGACCCAGCCAUGCCGCGUGGAGGAUGAAGGUCCUCUGGAUUGUAAACUUCUUUUCUCUGGGGCGAAAAAGGGAUAUUCUUAUCCCCCUGACAGUACCAGAGGAAUAAGCACCGGCUAACUCCGUGCCAGCAGCCGCGGUAAUACGGAGGGUGCAAGCGUUAUCCGGAUUCACUGGGUUUAAAGGGUGCGUAGGCGGGCAGGUAAGUCAGUGGUGAAAUCUCCGGGCUUAACCCGGAAACUGCCGUUGAUACUAUCUGCCUUGAAUGUCGUGGAGGUAAGCGGAAUAUGUCAUGUAGCGGUGAAAUGCUUAGAUAUGACAUAGAACACCUAUUGCGAAGGCAGCUUGCUACACGAUGAUUGACGCUGAGGCACGAAAGCGUGGGGAUCAAACAGGAUUAGAUACCCUGGUAGUCCACGCCCUAAACGAUGGAUACUCGACAUACGCGAUACACUGUGUGUGUCUGAGCGAAAGCAUUAAGUAUCCCACCUGGGAAGUACGACCGCAAGGUUG
rnacentral:rRNA from 1 species